rnacentral:rRNA from 1 species
GACGAACGCUGGCGGCGUGCUUAACACAUGCAAGUCGAACGGAAAGGCCCUGCUUUUGCGGGGUGCUCGAGUGGCGAACGGGGGAGUAACACGUGAGUAACCUGCCCUUGACUUUGGGAUAACUUCAGGAAACUGGGGCUAAUACCGGAUAGGAGCUCCUGCUGCACGGUGGGGAUUGGAAAGUUUCGGCGGUUGGGGAUGGAAUCGAGGCUUAUCAGCUGGAUGGUCGGGUAGUGGCUUACCAAGGCUUUGAAGGGUAGCCGGCCUGAGAGGGUGGCCGGCCACAUGGGGCCUGAGGUACGGCCCAGACGCCUACGGGAGGCAGCAGUCGGGAAUAUUGCACAAUGGGCGGACGCCUGAUGCAGCGACGCCGCGUGCGUGAUGCCGUCCUUCGGGUUGUAAACCGCUUUCGCCUGUGACGAAGCCUGAGUGACGGUAAUGGGUAAAGAAGCACCGGCUAACUACGUG